rnacentral:rRNA from 1 species
CCUACGGGAGGCUGCAGUGGGGAAUAUUGGACAAUGGGGGGAACCCUGAUCCAGCCAUGCCGCGUGUGUGAAGAAGGCCCUCGGGUUGUAAAGCACUUUCAGUGAGGAAGAACGCCUGGUGGUUAAUACCCAUCAGGAAAGACAUCACUCACAGAAGAAGCACCGGCUAACUCCGUGCCAGCAGCCGCGGUAAUACGGAGGGUGCGAGCGUUAAUCGGAAUUACUGGGCGUAAAGCGCGCGUAGGUGGCUUGAUAAGCCGGUUGUGAAAGCCCCGGGCUCAACCUGGGAACGGCAUCCGGAACUGUCAAGCUAGAGUGCAGGCGAGGAAGGUAGAAUUCCCGGUGUAGCGGUGAAAUGCGUAGAGAUCGGGAGGAAUACCAGUGGCGAAGGCGGCAUUCUGGACUGACACUGACACUGAGGUGCGAAAGCGUGGGUAGCAAACAGGAUUAGAUACCCCUGUAGUC